UUCCAGACUCCUACGGGAGGCAGCAGUAGGGAAUCUUUCACAAUGGGCGAAAGCCUGAUGGAGCAACGCCGCGUGCAGGAUGAAGGCCUUCGGGUUGUAAACUGCUUUUAUAAGCGAGAAAUAUGAUGGUAACUUAUGAAUAAGGAUCGGCUAACUCCGUGCCAGCAGCCGCGGUAAUACGGAGGAUGCGAGCGUUAUCCGGAUUUAUUGGGUUUAAAGGGUGCGUAGGCGGAAUGCCAAGUCAGCGGUAAAACCGGGGGGCUCACCCCCGGCCCGCCGUUGAAACUGGCAGUCUCGAGUUGGAGAGAAGUAUGCGGAAUGCGCGGUGUAGCGGUGAAAUGCAUAAAUAUCGCGCAGAACUCCGAUUGCGAAGGCAGCAUGCCGGCUCCACACUGACGCUGAGGCACGAAAGCGUGGGUAUCGAACAGGAUUAGAUACCCCCGUAA
rnacentral:rRNA from 1 species